AGGAGAUCUGGAAGCACAUGGAGACACACUGGAAAGUUGACCUAAGUAUCUAACUACCACUAUGGGUGACGACAUGAUCUGGAAAGACUAGAAGUUGAGCUGAGAAGCUGCUUCUGCCACAGUACAGUGCAGAAGAUAGAGACACCUCCAGCCUGGACAGCAGACCCUCUACUGUUUAUGUCCACUCUGUCACAGUCUUUGAAAGAAAUGUAGAGAUGAGCAAAAGUUUGAACAUUCACAGAAAUUAUAAACAUUUAUAUUUUAUGAAUAUACUUGUCACACGAGCAGACCUGGCUGUGAUUCCUCUCUUCUUUGUCUCAGUAUUAAUGUGAAAAGUUAACUCCAUAUUACAUGUCUAAUAGUUUGAAUGUAAUGUACAGUAACAACAUUAAAGCUAAUGUAAUACAAGGCCAGUUGACUUGUCAUCAUGGAUUAUUAUUACAUUGUUAGUUGAUAUGGACAGCAUUAGAUAAUUUUCAAUAAACGGUUGCAAAUAAUU